ACUCAAAUGAAUUGACGGGGACCCGCACAAGCGGUGGAGUAUGUGGUUUAAUUCGAAGCUACGCGCAAAACCUUACCAGGCCUUGACAUGGAUCGUAUGAGUCUAAGAGAUUAGAUUCUUCACUUCGGGUGGCGAUCACACAGGUGCUGCAUGGCUGUCGUCAGCUCGUGUCGUGAGAUGUUGGGUUAAGUCCCGCAACGAGCGCAACCCUUGGUUCUAGUUGCUAACAGGUUUGGCUGAGCACUUUAGAAUAACUGCCGGUGACAAGCCGGAGGAAGGUGGGGAUGACGUCAAGUCCUCAUGGCCCUUAUGGCCUGGGCUACACACGUACUACAAUGGCAGUGACAAAGGGAAGCAACUUCGCAAGGAGGAGCAAACCCCAAAAAACUGCCUCAGUUCAGAUUGUCCUCUGCAACUCGAGGGCAUGAAGUCGGAAUCGCUAGUAAUCGUAGAUCAGCAUGCUACGGUGAAUACGUUCUCGGGUCUUGUACACACCGCCCGU
rnacentral:rRNA from 1 species